GAGCCUGGGCACAGGCGUUCUCACUCUUCACGAGGGGCGCGUCCCUUCCCCUGCGCUACACCCAUGCGUGUUUCACAGCAAAGCCUGUGGCCCAAACCCCUCCGCACAGGGAAGCCCCGCAGGCUGAAGUCCAAGGGGCUGCAAGAGUCGGACACAACUGAGCGACCGAGCGACCGAACCAAAGUAAACACCUCCAGCCAUCUGCAUCAAGCCCACGAGCGUCUCUCCUUCCGACCUUGGAGGAGGCCCGAGAGUGCUCCCCCGCCUUGGGGAGGAGGGAACCCCCGCCGCAGACAGCGCUGCUUUGCCUGAGGUCCUGUAGCUGCCAGCCGCCAGCACUGCCACGGUGGCACCGCCCACCCCUCAGAUGCCUUCCCUGCCUCACUCUUCCCAGCAUUUCCCAUGACUCAGUCACGCGUUUAUGGGUUCCUGUGUUCGCCGCCCCUCUCCUCCGCCUCCCCGGGGGCUCCACUGACGCCCGAGAGAACGGGGCCUGGCCACAAGCAGCCUCCAGGACCAGCGCUCCCCCACUUGAUAGAGGCCUCUCCCAGCUCUGCCUCUGGCACCAGGAGGUGGAUUCCUCUCCCUUCAAACCUGCCCAGGAAAAAAAAGCCAGGAUGCAGAAGCCAGGAGGGGACAAAGGCUCAGAGUCACACGAGAUCAGGGACAGCGUGGACCGGGGGCAGUGCACCCAGUCGGGGGCACCGGGAGGAGCCCCCCUUCCGCUCUCUGGGGGAGCGUCUCCGGGGGGCUGGCCCUCCUAGGGAGAAGCUCUUUGGGAGGAAGGUAGGCGGGGAGGGCACAGCCCAGCCUGCGGAAGGAGGUGCCUGCUGGAGGGGAGGGUGCCCGGGCGAGCCUGCCAGGGCCUGUGUGUGUGGGGCCCUCUCGGUGGGUGUGCCACCCCAACUCCCCCAUUGGUAAAUAAAGCAGCCUGUGAGUCUUUAAUGGGCUCGCACUUAAAAAUAGAUGAGACCAGGCCUCUGGGCCCGAUUCCCAGGUCUCUGCCAUGCUGGGCGGUGCUGGGCCCACAGGCUCCCCAGGGAGGGGGUGAGGACAGUACCACAGGCUGGGGCUCCACCGGGGUGCUCCAGGGCCCAGGGAGCCAGGCACGUGUGGCCCGUGCCCAGGGGCCAGCAGAGAGCCUCCACCUGGCUGUGGUGUCCUAGCUCCUGCGUCACAAGC
rnacentral:lncRNA from 1 species